rnacentral:misc_RNA from 1 species
CUUCUUCUGUUUGUCCCUCCACCUCCUGCAUCUCCCGAAGAAUCACAUCCCGCUCCCUAUUGAUCCGGAGUUCAUCAAAGCUCGAAUUCUGCAAGAUAUCUGCGAGGAUCGUGAGCGCCUGAUUGACGUCCUUGUCCAUCACCUUGGCAUAAUAAGUGGUCUGCUCCCGUGAGGUAUAAGCAUUCAGAUGCGCCCCGAUGUUCUCGAUCCCCUCCUCCAGCUGCCGUGCCGUCCGAUCCUUCGUCCCCUUGAAGAUCAUAUGCUCGAGAAAAUGAGCUGUACCGUUGGUCUCAUCGGUCUCGAACCGGCUGCCAGCGUCGAUCCAGACGCCGACGGUGGCGGUGCGGGCGGCGAGGGAGGAUUCGGUGGCGAUGCGGAGGCCGUUGGGGAGGGUGGUGACGCGGGUCAUCGGGGCGGAGAGGAUCGGGGUGUGAUCGGCGAGGGUGGGGUGGGGGGAGGCAUAGCGGAGGAAGCGGGGAUCGGGAUCGUCGAGGCGCUUGAUCUUGGAUUUGACAACCUCAACGAGGCGGUCGUAGAGCAUUACAGGGGGGCGGGUGGGGAUGGAGGGGG